AUGGCUGGCUGCAGCCUCAACCUCCUAGGAUCAAGCAAUCCUCCCACCUCAGCCUCCGGAGUAGCUGGGACUACAGACUCACAUUACACCCAAUUACUUUUUUAUUUUAUAUUUUGUAGAGUCACUGUCUCACUCUGUUGCCCAGGCUGGAGUGCAGUGGUGCAGUCAUGGUUCACUGUAGCGUGGACUUUCCUGGACUCAAGUGAUCCUCCCACCUCAGCUUCUUGAGCGGCUGAAACUACGGGAGUACACCACCAUGCCCGGCUAAUUUUUUUUUUGAGACAGAGUCUUGAUCUGUCACCCACGCUAGAGCGCAGUGGCACGAUCUAGGUUCACUGCAACCUCCACCUCCCAGGUUCAAGCAAUUCUCCUGCAUCAGCCUCCCAAGUAGCUGGGACUAUAGGCGCCCACCGCCACGCCUGGUUAAUUUUUUGUAUUUCAGUAGAGACGGGGUUUCACCGUGUUGCCCAGGCUGGUCACAAACUUCUGAGCUCAGGCAAUCCACCCACCUUGGCCUCCCAAAGUGCUGGGAUGACAGGCAUGAGCCAUCACUCCCGGCCAUGCCAGGCUAAUUUUUAAAAAUUUGUAGAACUGGGGCUUUGCCAUAUUGCCCAGACUGGUCUUGAACUCCCAAGCUCCAGUGAUUUGCCUGCCUUGGUCUCCCCGAGUGCUGGGAUUACAGGUGUGAGUCACCGCACACAGCAGGAUUUUCAUCUAUAAGGAACAUCUUCAUAAAAGGGUAGGAUCUGGGGGUCUUUUCAUGUCUAAAAAGGACCUUACUUUGCACUCCCCAUUGCAUGAUAGCCUGAGAUUAAAUGUCUAGUCCUGAAGUCGUUUUUCCUUGAAGUCUGGAAGAAAUUGUUCCGCAUUUUUGUGGCAGUGAGUGUUGCUGAUGAGAAGUUUGCGGCACAUCUGAUUAUUUAUAGGUGAAUUUUUUCUUCUCUUGGAGCUUUUAGGAUAUUCAUUUUAUCUUUAAAGUUCUGAAGUUUCAUGAGGGUAUGUUAAAUUCGUUUAGUUAACUUUAAUUAAUAUGUAAAAUUAAUUUAGUUCUGAAAUUUCAUGAGCAUAGGUGUUUUAAAUGUGCUGUGCUCACAGGAGGUGACCCGUGUCUCUCUCUACUUCUGGACACUUUAAUUAUUUCUUUAAUAUUUUUCUCCCCUCUGUCAUCUCUAGUGUCUCUUCUUCUUUUUUUUUUUUUUUUUUUGAGCGGGGUCUUUUUUUUUUUCCCCGGCUGGUGGUCAGUGGCCGGGUCUUCUCCCCCUGCAAGCUCCCCCUCCCGAGUUUAUGCCAUGCUCCUGCCUCACCCCCCCGGUAGCUGGGACUACAGGCGCCCGCCACCUUGCCUGGCUAGUUUUUUUGUAUUUUUUAGUAGAGACGGGGUUUCACCGUGUUAGCCAGGAUGGUCUCGAUCUCCUGACCUCGUGAUCCGCCCGUCUCGGCCUCCCAAAGUGCUGGGAUUACAGGCUUGAGCCACCGCACCCGGCCUAGUGUCUCUUCUUUGAGCUUCUUAUAGUUUGGGUCUUGCAUUUUGUUCUAGGAAAAUUCCUCCAGUUCAUUUUCCAGCCAUUCAA
rnacentral:lncRNA from 1 species